UUUCAGUUGUGCGAGAUAACACACAAAAGAAUUUUAUUUUAUCGGUAUAAUUUACUCACAAACACGCAUAUAUAGUGAUGAAACAAAUGCCACACGUCAUUUGAAAAUAUUUAAAGAUGAGAUCGCAGACUGUUGUUGCUUCUUUCUUGACCAUUAUUUUUGCCCUUGCUCUCAUUUCCUCUAUGAUGACAGUUGCUCAAGCAAGAGUAGGAGUCACACCGCCACCACCCCAACAACACCACCGCAGCCUCCGAGGCCAGUAUGGCAGCUGGAGGUGUUGGGACGAUACCCAAUGCCACAAGAAAAAAGGAGGACCACCACCGCCACCUUGUUGUCGGCAAUAAAGGACGAUUGGGCUUAAUCAGAACUCAAAUGAUGGAAUGCAUGUAGCACAACACAAAUAAAUAUGUUCGUUCUACCAUAUAAUAAACCUAUAUAUUUGAUCUUUUACGCAUCUUAUAUUCCAUGUAUCACCACAACUUGUUGGUUUGAAAUAGACAUAUUUUAAUGUUUGUUUUAUGUAUGUAUGCAUCUCAUAUUUCAUGUAAAAUAUAUACUCGUUAUGUUUGUUUUAUGUUGAAACUGGAGUUUAUAAUUCAUAUUA